rnacentral:tRNA from 1 species
GACAAGUUAUAUUUAGUCUUCUAAACUAUGGUUGAAAGAGGUUCUUUCACUUGUUU